ensembl:snoRNA SNORD116 Small nucleolar RNA SNORD116
GGAUUGAUGAUGAGUUUCUUAGAAAAGCAGAACAAAAUGAGUGAAACACACUAUCAACUUGCUCAUCAGAACUGAGGUCG